rnacentral:lncRNA from 1 species
CUCAGGAGCUAGGUGAAUGGGUUUAAACAUUUGCACUGAGAGGCAAAAUGGCCACAUUUAACUGGGAUAUGGCAUUCUUCUAGGAAUACUUGAUUAGCAAAGGAAGAAUGCCUUAAGUAAGUAUGUGCACCACUCCAGUAAACACACUGCACAUGCAGUUCCUCCCAAGCGCUGGCAGGCUGCUGCAUGUACAGAUUGCCAACGUGUAAAACCCCAAGGCAAAGGCCAAGCUGUGCACUUGUCUCCGGUUAUCCACUUGGCCCUCUUCCGACGGAAUUCUUUCUUCUGAGGAUGCAAGAACUGAGGUUGCUGCAGACCCGUACCGAUUCACAACUGCUAACAGGUUCUCAACACCAUACCCGCUUGUCACCUUGGGAAAGUGAGAGAGCUGUUCACAGCAGUGGUCUAAGAAAUGCUGACUGAAAUUAAACUUCAAGUACAUUUUACAGCUCUUUUUUUAUUUGAUGUGCUUGGAGACUGUCAGAGAGGCCAAAAAGGUAAAAGUUCAUUAUCUUUUGAAUAAAAACUCCUUAAUUAUUAAAGAAAGUGAACACCACCUAGAAAUUUAUGGCAAGAGAGAGAAAAAGAAAAAAAUUAGAACUCUAAAUAGAAGAAUCUAACCUGGGGUUUUAAUUUGAAAGCAACAAAUGACAGGCCAGCAUUUUCAAUUAGCAAAUAAUUUUAUUACAAUAAUUUUUCCCUUAUACUAUUUGUUUUGGUUGUUCUUACUUGACUGGGAAACACGAACCUAACAAUUAUAUAAAAAUUAAGAACACCUGAAAAUAUACACUCCUAUUUCACAAGCAGAUUUGAGAAUUUUGUACAUAUAGGAUUUUAAAACAUAUUAUAUAGUUGGACGUGGUAGCUCAUGCCUGUGAUCCCAACACUUUGGGUGGAUAAGGUGGGUGACUCACCUGAGGUCAGAAGUUUGAGACGAGCCAACGUGGUGAAAUCCCAUCUCUACUAAAAAUACAAAAAUUAGCCAGGCCUGAUGACAGGUCCCAAUAGAUUUAGCUACUCUGGAGGCUGAGGCAGGAGAAUUGCUUGAAUCAGAGGUGGAGGUUGCAGUGCGCUGAGAUUAUGCCAUUGCACUCCAGGCUGGGCAAUAAGAAAGGAACUCUGUCUAUAUAUAUAUGUAUAUGUGUGUGUGUGCACGUGUGUGUAUAUAUAUAUACACACACGUGCGCACACAUUGCAUAGAAGCUAAUCUAACUUGUAUAGCUUCUCAUUGAAUAUUCUUCAUAUUUUUGCCCAAUUUAUGUCCCAUUUAAAAACAAAAAUUUUUAAAAUCCUUUGAGGUUGCCAUACAGAUUUAUAAUUUGAGUUUACACAUGUUAGAAAGUGAUUGUUUUUUUUUAUUUGUUUUGUUUUGGUUUGAUGGCCAGUCAUGCAGAGUAUUCUGUGUACGAAAUACCUCUUAUAAAUUGAGGCUUACUGGCCGGGCGCGGUGGCUCAAGCCUGUAAUCCCAGCACUUUGGGAGGCCGAGGCGGGUGGAUCACGAGGUCAGGAAAUCGAAACCAUCCUGGUCAACGUGGUGAAACCCCGUCUCUACUAAAAAUACAAAAAAUUAGCUGGGCAUGGUGGUGUGUGCCUGUAAUCCCAGCUACUCGGGAGGCUGAGGCCGGAGAAUUGCCUGAACCCAGGAGGCGGAGGUUGCCGUGAGCCGAGAUCGCGCCAUUGCACUCCAGCCUUGGUAACGAGCGAAACUCCGUCUCAAAAAAAACAAACAAAAAAAACAAACACAAAAUUGCGGCUUACUAAGAAAUAAUAGAAUCUCAGCACAAUAGGCUUGGAAUACAUGUUUACUUUUCCAUCAAGGUUAGUUUUCUCAAGGCCUUGCUAACAAGGGAGAUUCAGCCUACAAUUGCAUAGACAGAAAGUUAUCUGUCCUUUUCCGUGACAUUUCAUUAUUCAAUAUUUGAACAGAUAGAAAUGCACAUGGAAUAAAUAUCAAAAGACACAAGCAGGGCUAUAUCAACAUGCUGGGGUCUCUUCAUCAGUAUCUGACAGCUUCUCAAUUCUAGUAUAAUAGAUAACUUUUAUUAUCAAUCCUCUCUGUUUUUCUUGAGAUAUAGUACACUUUUGCAAACACAUGCAUAAGUACUAUAAUAUUUAAUGCUUUUUAAGUAUCAUAGCUUAGAUAUAAUAUAUUAUCAGUAUGUAGAAAGCUCUGUCAUUUAUUUUAAAGGGAACAUACUAUUUCAUUGAAAGAAUCAACUUUAUUGUGUUCAUCGAUUUUUUUUUUUUUUUUGAGAUGGAGUCUUUCUCUGUUGCCCAGGCUAGAGUGCAGUGGAGCGAUUUCAGCUCACUGCAACCUCUGCCUGCCAGGUUCAAGCGAUUCUCCUUCCUCAGCCUCCUGAGUAGCUGGGAUUAUAGGCACAUGCCACCACACCCUGCUAAUAUAUUUUUUUUUUUUUGUAUUUUUAAUAGAGAUGGG